rnacentral:rRNA from 1 species
UACGAGAGGCCCAAACGUUAUUCGGAAUUACUGGGCUUAAAGAGUUCGUAGGCGGCGCAGAAAGUAGGGUGUGAAAGCCCUCGGCUCAACCGAGGAAUUGCGCCCUAAACUACUGUGCUUGAGGAACCUAGAGGUGAGCGGAACUGAUGGUGGAGCGGUGAAAUGCGUUGAUAUCAUCAGGAACACCGGAGGCGAAGGCGGCUCACUGGGGGUUAUCUGACGCCGAGGAACGAAAGCCAGGGGAGCGAACGGG